CCUACGGGGACGCUGUGGAACGGAGCCGGGGAACCACGUUCCUCGGGGUGAAUCGGCGCCAGGUCGGCCGGACGUCGUGAGACGCCGGGCCGGUGAGGCGUCGUAGGGCAUCUCUUCCAGCCCGAACCCGUCAGCUCACCCGGUAGGCGGCCGUAGGAAGAAGGA
rnacentral:sRNA from 2 species